AUGAUAGAGAAAAUGUUUGAGUGAGAGAGAUAAAGGAGAAAGGGUUAAGAGGAAUGAAGGAGGUGAGUAAGGGUUUUGGAUUUUCUUUUUUUAGUUUUGAGAAUGAAAAUUAUUAAAAUAAGGCAAGUGUUUCUGAUUUUUUUUCAAUUGGAGCUAGAGUAAGGAUGACAAAGAAAAGGUUGGAGUGAAAGAGAAAUGGUUG
rnacentral:lncRNA from 1 species